AUUGAACGCUGGCGGCAGGCCUAACACAUGCAAGUCGAACGAGUGGCGGACGGGUGAGUAAUGUCUGGGAAACUGCCCGAUGGAGGGGGGUAACUACUGGAAACGGGAUCUAAUACAGCAUACCAUCGGAUGUGCCCAGAGGGGGGUAGCUUGUGGGUGGGGGAACGGCGCACCUAGGGGACGAUCCCCAGCUGGUCUGAGAGGAGGACCAGCCACACUGGAACUGAGACACGGUCCAGACUCCUACGGGAGGCAGCAGUGGGGAAUAUUGCACAAUGGGCGCAAGCCUGAUGCAGCCAUGCCGCGUGUAUGAAGAAGGCCUUCGGGUUGUAAAGUACUUUCAGCGGGGAGGCGUUACCCGCAGAAGAAGCACCGGCUAACUCCGUGCCAGCCGCCGCGGUAAUAC
rnacentral:rRNA from 1 species